CAACCGUGUUAGCAUGAAGCACAGAGCUGUGAAGCGGAACAAAUGGAGCCUGAAGCAAUGAAUCAUGGGAUAGGGUGGGACAUGGAGGAUACACCGGACCCAUCCUUCAAAUCCGGGGAAAAGGACGCAUUCGUUGCCUCAUCCAGGACGUUAUCAGCCUACAAAUGUGUCCUUCAAUGGAUGCAGUCCUGAAUUUGGACCCAGCAAUUGUGAAUGACAUCCAUGAAUGAGUUAUCAAUCACUUGGUUCUGGAAAGGAGAUUGGUAGUAGCUGCUUUUGGCAAGAUCUUAGAAACCUCCAACCCACAAGAAACACACCUUACACCCUUUUAGGAAAAAACAUUAAUGUAUUAAAAAUAUUUGCAUAGGUACUUCAAUAUACUGACAAUUACAUGCAAAAUAAGACAUUCUCUGUAAAGAAAAAUUGCAUUUCAGCCUUCACAGUUUAGAUUUUGUUUUUACAGUAUUUUCUGAAAAGGGGUCAAAUAACAAAAC